ACAGGAACCUGAAACUGCCCGAU
rnacentral:miRNA from 1 species